ACCCGCACAAGCGGUGGAUGAUGUGGUUUAAUUCGAUGCAACGCGAAAAACCUUACCUACCCUUGACAUGUCAAGAAGUUACCAGAGAUGGUUUCGUGCUCGAAAGAGAACUUGAACACAGGUGCUGCAUGGCCGUCGUCAGCUCGUGUCGUGAGAUGUUGGGUUAAGUCCCGCAACGAGCGCAACCCUUAUCAUUAGUUGCUACGCAAGGGCACUCUAAUGAGACUGCCGGUGACAAACCGGAGGAAGGUGGGGAUGACGUCAGGUCAUCAUGGCCCUUAUGGGUAGGGCUACACACGUCAUACAAUGGCCGGUACAGAGGGCUGCCAACCCGCGAGGGGGAGCUAAUCUCAGAAAACCGGUCGUAGUCCGGAUCGCAGUCUGCAACUCGACUGCGUGAAGUCGGAAUCGCUAGUAAUCGCGGAUCAGCUUGCCGCGGUGAAUACGUUCCCGGGUCUUGUACACACCGCCCGUCACACCAUGGGAGCGGGUUCUGCCAGAAGUAGUUAGCCUAACCGCAAGGAGGGCGAUUACCACGGCAGGGUUCGUGACUGGGGUGAAGUCGUAACAAGGUAGCCGUAUCGGAAGGUGCGGCUGGAUCACCUCCUUUCUG
rnacentral:rRNA from 1 species